GUCUAACCCUUUAAAUUUAUUAAAAAAAAAACUAAACUGUCACUGUCAAUGUCAAGUUGUCAACCUGACAGCUGACAGAAGAACCUUUCUUUUCCCGGCGCAACCGCAAAACCACAAAACAAAAGAUCAACAACGACUUCUAGUUCCAGUUUUAUUAGCAAGAAGAAAUCUAAAUUUUACCCGAUUAAACUUACGAAACUCUUAAAUAGUGAGUGAAACCUAAUAGACAGAACCCUACAACUGAACAUUAAUACUACACUACUUUGAAAUUGAAGUUACAUACUACAUUUUGCAACAAUCGCUGUGGUGGUAUACUAUGAUAUAAUUCAAGAAACAUAGUACUGAAAUUAAAAUAAAACAAGAAUGACACCUCUAAUAAAACGGAAUUAAAUUAC